AACGUAGGAGACAAACGUUAUCCGGAGUUACUGGGCGUAAAGGGCGUGUAGGUGGUUUCGUAAGUCUGGCGUGAAAUUUUUCGGCUUAACCGGGAAAGGUCGUCGGAUACUGCGGAACUAGAGGACGGUAGAGGCGUGUGGAAUUCCGGGUGUAGUGGUGAAAUGCGUAGAUAUCAAGAGGAACACCUGCGGCGAAGGCGGGUUGCUGGGCCGACACUGACGCUGAUGCGCGAAAGCUAGGGGAGCGAACGGG
rnacentral:rRNA from 1 species